rnacentral:rRNA from 1 species
UACGGGGGGAGCAAGCGUUGUUCGGAUUUACUGGGCGUAAAGGGCGCGUAGGCGGUCAGCACAAGUCAGUUGUGAAAUCUCCGGGCUUAACUCGGAAAGGUCAACUGAUACUGUGCGACUAGAGUGCAGAAGGGGCAACUGGAAUUCUCGGUGUAGCGGUGAAAUGCGUAGAUAUCAGGAGGAACACCUGUGGCGAAGGCGUCCAUCUGGCCCGUUACUGACGCUGAUGCGCGAAAGCUAGGGGAGCAAACGGG